rnacentral:lncRNA from 1 species
GGCUGCUGGAAGUUCCUAGACUAGGGGGUUGCAUAAGAGCUGCACCUGCCAGCCUACACUACAGCCAUAGCAACUCGGAAUCUGAACCACAUCUGUGACCUAUAUCACAGCUCACGGCAAAACCGGAUCCAACCCACUGAGCAAGGCCAGGGACUGAACCUGCAUCCUCAUGGAUACUAGUAAGAGUUCGUUAUCGCGGAGCCACAACGGGACCUCCUGGUUAUCUAUUUUAAUCUAUGGCAGUGUGUCUGUGCUAGGAGGAUUGAAGUUUUAGAUAGGAUGGCCAGGGCAAGGCUUCUCUGGGGGAGGGGAAGGUUUGAAUAAAGCCAGAAGGAAGUGAAAGGAAGCCCUGUGGCUAGCUGAGGGGUGGGCACUCCAAGACUCCAAGUAGUUAAUGUUAUACACCUAAGUUCCGCUUGAAAAGAGAGAAACGGUCUGGUGUUUCCUGCUGUUGGAGGUCUGGGACAUGAGGACAAACCAGCACAAAUUUCAUGGAAAUAGGAAGGUGCACAGGAGAUGACGGUGUUCUGGAAACUCAGUGGAGAAAAGACUUAAGGAGGAUAAAGUGACCCAGACUGUCAAAUGCUGCCGCCAGUUGAGUGAGCAGAGAACAGAGGACGGAGGAGCAGCACGGGUGAGACCCUGACCGAAGUGGCUUCAGCGAGAAUAGUGGAGAGAGACUGAAGACGGUCAGCAUGCACCAUUAUUUUGAAGGAUUUUGCUGUAAGGGGGAGCAGAGAAAACAGUCCUGUAGCUGGAAGCACAGAGGUAAAGGGGAAGUCUUUGCCUUUUUGUGGUCUGUUUUGGGGGGUUGGGAGAUCAAAGAGCAUCUUUAAAUGCUCGUGGCAGUUACCGGCCAGAGAGGGCCUAUCCAUGCCAUCAGCGAGUUAGAGAACGUCCAGGGGCAAAGUCAGGGCACAGAUGGCCCAGGAGAGAAGGCAGAGGCCUGUGGCGAGGCGCUGGUAGACUGGUGGACUUCAUAGCUGUGGAAAUUCUCUCCCGGUGGCCUCUAUUAGUGAAAUAAGAAGCAAGAGCAUCGGCAGGGAGUGAGAAUGGAACCUGUAUGAAGAGGGAGGAAAGGAUGUGAAAUAAUUAACUGAGAGAGUUAAUGGACUAGAAAAAUGUGGAGUAAUUGCUAGGAAGUUAAGUGCCCACUGGACAUACGUGGUCAUGAAUUGAAAGUAGUGAGUCAACAUAAUGGCUUUUCUUUAGCCAUGUUUGGCAGCGUUGGCACAGACGUGGGGUAGCUGGGAGAACUGGAUUUCACCAAGGUUUAGGUUUUGGUGAACAGGGAAUACGAAUUGAGAUCUGGCCAAGGGAGUUGAGGGUGUGUGCAGUGGUUGAUUUUGACUGAUCAUGGCAUUUAAAUGGGAUGAGGAAGUAUCUUAGUCAGCUCAGGCUGCCAUAACAAGAUACCGCAGAGUCAGGGCUUAAACAACAAUUUAUUUUCUCACAGUUCCAGAGGCUGGAAGGCCAAGAUCAAGGUGUGGGCAGAUCUGGUUUCCCGUGAAGCCUCCCUUCUUGGCUUGUAGGCAGUUGCCUUCUUGCUCUGUCAUCACGUGGCUUUUCUUAUGUUUGUGGGGAGUGUGGGGAAGGGAUCGGGGGGAGGGGGGAGAGGGAGAUCUCAUGUCUCUUCCUCUUCUUAUAAAGACGCUGGCCUUAUGAGCUCAUUUAAUCUUAAUUAUCUCCUUAAAAGACCUGUCUCCCAAUACAGUCACAUUGGAGGUUGGGUCUCAGCAGAUGAGUUGUGGAGACACACAAUUCGUCCGUAACAGGAAGGAAGGAGGUGUGUGAGGGGCUCUAGGACAGGGAAAAUGUGGUAGGAUUAAUGGAUUGUAGGUAAUGAUGAGACCAAAGGAUCACUUGAGUAGGAGGAUUAGAAGGUGUGAGCUGGAAGUGCAGGCAGGAGUUGACUGGAGCGUGGGGUAUAUGAAAGUGGGGCUGCACACACACACAUAUAUUAUAUAUAUCAUAUAUGUAUUAUAUAUUACUAUACCAGAUGUGUGUAUAGAGGGGUCGCCAUUGUCUGCAGUGGCAAAAGCUAGGGCAUGACCGUGGCAGUGAAUGGCUAAGGUAGAUGGAAAGACCACGGGCGGAGAGGAGUGAAGGAGCCGAGAGGCCAGGGCACGAGAAGGGCCAUCUCUGUGUGUUUGGAAAUUAACAGGCAUUAUCGCAGGAGUGGCACUGCAGAGAGAGCCAGCCAGCCAGACGAUAAAUCUUUAAGAAAGGGGAGAGAAUAACUUAGGGUAAAUAGAAGCGGGUAGUCGCGUGGGACUAUAUUGGGGGAAAACGUAGCAGCACCAGUCCUGAGUCCCAGAGGAAGAGGUGUGCGACCCAUGUAACCAACAAGGGUGUCCCAGGUGGUGUUUUCUGGAAGGAGAUGUUGAGUUGGAAUUUGAGGUGCAAGACGUCUACUAGGGAUCAACACUUGUGAAAGGAAAAGCGAGGAAGCAGGAUGGGGCAGACGAAGAACGUGCCCUCUGAUGCAGGUGCUCCGAAGCCAGCAGGGAGCUCUGGACUAAAUGGCGCAGUCCGGGUGUUCAGUGUGAGGCCCAACUCUCGGGGUCUUUCGAUCCCACGGCCCCUCUUGAUCACCAGAUGUGGCCUGCCCCAGGCUCCUCCGCAGACGUGGCAGAUCCUGACAUAGCGGACAGCUGGAGGCCGUCUGCUUCGGGCACACCCUGCGCUGGAAAACAGGUUCUGCCUAAAGGGGUAUCUAGGCAGUGGGUCUCUGAGGGGAACCACAAAGAGAUGCAGAUUUUACUUUGCAUAUGUAAAGAACCAUGCAAAUCAAUAUGAGCAUCUAAGUUGCCAAGAAUGGUGCACGCGCGCGUGUUCACAAUUAGUAGUGGGUAGUGGUUCCCUAAAUCUGAAUCUCUUCUCAUUCCAAAUAAUGGUACAGAGGAAGGGCUGACACACAGUGUCCUAAGAGAUGGGCAGCUGUCUUUGGAAAUAAAGAUUUACCGGAACACCGCUCUAGCCACUCAUUUAGACAUGGUCUAUUGUCAUGCUACAAUGGUACAGUUUCGUUGUGACAGAGCCAGUACGGCUUACAAGCUUAAAAUAUUUAUUUUCUGAACCUUUAAGACUAAGUGUCCUGAUUCCUAAGAUAGAACAGAAAAAAAAAA